rnacentral:rRNA from 1 species
GACGAACGCUGGCGGCGUGCCUAAUACAUGCAAGUCGAGCGAAUGAAUAGAAGAGCUUGCUCUUCUAUUCAUUAGCGGCGGAUGGGUGAGUAACACGUGGGCAACCUGCCCUGCAGAUGGGGAUAACUCCGGGAAACCGGGGCUAAUACCGAAUAAUCAGUUCUUCCGCAUGGAAGAACUCUGAAAGACGGCAUCUCGCUGUCACUGCAGGAUGGGCCCGCGGCGCAUUAGCUAGUUGGUGGGAUAACGGCCUACCAAGGCGACGAUGCGUAGCCGACCUGAGAGGGUGAUCGGCCACACUGGGACUGAGACACGGCCCAGACUCCUACGGGAGGCAG